AUUUCUUUUUCACAGCAGUUUGCAGUUUGUUUUCAUGUUCCAAGGACACAGAGAUAAAACCGGUCUGCUUCUGCAGCGGUGGGAGCGGGAGGAAGCAGCUUGCUUUCCAGCCAGUUUUUGGCUUUCUUUUUCUCUGGAGAGGCAGAGACAGAGAGUUGAACUUUUGUU